AUGGACAGAAAGGGUACAACUUUGUUUUGGUUAUACAAAGUUCAGUGUCUAGAGUAUAUCCAUGGUGACACUAAUACAUAUAGAGAUUUCCAUGUAUCACCUCAUUCUUCAUUUCUGAUCUAUCUAACAUCUUUGUUUGAUUAUCAAUAUUGUAUCCAUGACUCAGGGAAUAUAAAUUGCAUGCUGUCAGCCAGAUACAUGGAAAUUAUAUUUUAUCUAUCAAUGUUGACGCUCCUUCAUCUGAUCGAUGCUUCUUAUUUUGAAUAUAAAUUCUGUAAUUAUAUUUCGAAUUCUGAUCAAUGCUUCUUCAUUUGGAUAUUUUAUAAUUCACAUACAGGAUUGCGACUUGGUUAUGACACAAUUGGAUAUUUUAUAAUUUGCUUAUUAUGUUGUUAA
rnacentral:rRNA from 1 species